AGAUAUAAAUGGAAGGCUCUAAAAAUGCGUCAAAGAAGAAGCAAAAGCGCGGUAUCGACUUCAAGAAAAUAAAGCGAAAGAUUGGCAGAAAAUUGCCACCGGCACAGAAUGCUACAAAUACUGAAAUUAAAUCUAAAGAGUGUGGCAUCAGAGAAGGCAGGAUUAGCAGUGAACAAGAAAGGCUUGA